rnacentral:rRNA from 1 species
AUUGAACGCUGGCGGCAUGCUUUACACAUGCAAGUCGAACGGCAGCGGGGUAGUGCUUGCACUACUGCCGGCGAGUGGCGAACGGGUGAGUAAUAUAUCGGAACGUACCGAGUAAUGGGGGAUAACCAAUCGAAAGAUUGGCUAAUACCGCAUACGUCCUGAGGGAGAAAGCGGGGGAUCGCAAGACCUCGCGUUAUUCGAGCGGCCGAUAACUGAUUAGCUAGUUGGUGGGGUAAAGGCCUACCAAGGCGACGAUCAGUAGCGGGCCUGAGAGGACGAUCCGCCACACUGGGACUGAGACACGGCCCAGACUCCUACGGGAGGCAGCAGUGGGGAAUUUUGGACAAUGGGGGCAACCCUGAUCCAGCCAUGCCGCGUGUAUGAAGAAGGCCUUCGGGUUGUAAAGUACUUUUGUUAGGGAAGAAAAGGGAAGUGCUAAUACCACUUUUUGCUGACGGUACCUAAAGAAUAAGCACCGGCUAACUACGUG